rnacentral:rRNA from 1 species
AUUGAACGCUGGCGGCAUGCCUUACACAUGCAAGUCGAACGGCAGCGGGGACUUCGGUCCGCCGGCGAGUGGCGAACGGGUGAGUAAUGUAUCGGAACGUACCAUUGAGUGGGGGAUAACGUAGCGAAAGUUACGCUAAUACCGCAUAUUCUCUCCGGAGGAAAGCAGGGGACCGCAAGGCCUUGCGCUCUUUGAGCGGCCGAUAUCAGAUUAGCUAGUUGGUGGGGUAAAAGCUCAACAAGGCGAUGAUCUGUAUCGGGUCUGAGAGGAUGAUCCGCCACACUGGAACUGAGACACGGUCCAGACUCCUACGGGAGGCAGCAGUGGGGAAUUUUGGACAAUGGGGGCAACCCUGAUCCAGCCAUGCCGCGUGAGUGAAGAAGGCCUUCGGGUUGUAAAGCUCUUUCGGCCGGGAAAAAAUCGCAUGGGUUAAUACCCUGUGUGGAUGAUGGUACCGGAAUAAGAAGCACCGGCUAACUACGUGCCAGCAGCCGCCGUAA